GACAGAGGUGCCGAGCGUUAGGCGGAAUCACUGGGCUUAAAGCGUGUGUAGGCGGACUUCUAAGUACCUUGUGAAAUCCCCAGGCUUAACCUGGGAACUGCAUCCGAUACUGGAUGGCUUGAAUCCGGGAGAGGGAUGCAGAAUUCCAGGUGUAGCGGUGAAAUGCGUAGAUAUCUGGAGGAAUACCGGUGGCGAAGGCGGCAUCCUGGACCGGCAUUGACGCUGAGGAGCGAAAGCUAGGGGAGCAAACGGG
rnacentral:rRNA from 1 species